rnacentral:rRNA from 1 species
GACAGAGGAUGCAAGCGUUAUCCGGAAUGAUUGGGCGUAAAGCGUCUGUAGGUGGCUUUUUAAGUCCGCCGUCAAAUCCCAGGGCUCAACCCCUGGACAGGCGGUGGAAACUACCAAGCUGGAGUACGGUAGGGGCAGAGGGGAAUUUCCGGUGGAGCGGUGAAAAUGCGUAGAGAUCGGAAAAGAACACCAACGGCGAAAGCACUCUGCUGGGGCCGACACUGACACUGAGAGACGAAAAGCUAGGGGG